UGGCUCAGGACGAACGCUGGCGGCGUGCUUAACACAUGCAAGUCGAACGAGAAUCUACGGAUCGAGGAUUCGUCCAAGUGAAGUAGAGGACAGUGGCGGACGGGUGAGUAACGCGUGAGGAACCUGCCUUUCAGAGGGGGACAACAGUUGGAAACGACUGCUAAUACCGCAUGACACAUUGGGGUCGCAUGGCUCUGAUGUCAAAGAUUUAUCGCUGAAAGAUGGCCUCGCGUCUGAUUAGCUAGUUGGUGAGGUAACGGGCCCACCAAGGCGACGAUCAGUAGCCGGACUGAGAGGUUGACCGGCCACAUUGGGACUGAGAUACGGCCCAGACUCCUACGGGAGGCAGCAGUGGGGAAUAUUGGGCAAUGGGCGCAAGCCUGACCCAGCAACGCCGCGUGAAGGAAGAAGGCUUCGGGUUGUAAACUUCUUUUGUCAGGGACGAGUAGAAGACGGUACCUGACGAAUAAGCCACGGCUAACUACGUG
rnacentral:rRNA from 1 species